rnacentral:rRNA from 1 species
CAGCAGCCGCGGGAAUACGUAGGGUGCGAGCGUUAAUCGGAAUUACUGGGCGUAAAGCGUGCGCAGGCGGUUUUGUAAGACAGGCGUGAAAUCCCCGGGCUCAACCUGGGAAUGGCGCUUGUGACUGCAAAGCUAGAGUGCGGCAGAGGGGGAUGGAAUUCCGCGUGUAGCAGUGGAAUGCGUAGAUAUGCGGAGGAACACCGAUGGCGAAGGCAAUCCCCCGGGCCUGCACUGACGCUCAUGCACGAAAGCGUGGGGAGCAAACAGGAUUAGAUACCCGAGUAGUCCCUGUCUCUUAUAA